rnacentral:rRNA from 1 species
UACAGAGGUCUCAAGCGUUUGUUCGGAUUCAUUGGGCGUAAAGGGUGCGUAGGUGGCGCCGUAAGUCGGGUGUGAAAUUUCGGAGCUUAACUCCGAAACUGCAUUCGAUACUGCGGUGCUUGAGGACUGGAGAGGAGACUGGAAUUCAUGGUGUAGCAGUGAAAUGGCGUAGAGAUCAUGAGGAAGACCAGUGGCGAAGGCGGGUCUCUGGACAGUUCCUGACACUGAGGCACGAAGGCCAGGGGAGCAAACGGGG